CGGGUGAGUAACGCGUGGAAAACCUGCCGUAUACUGGGGGAUAACACUUAGAAAUAGGUGCUAAUACCGCAUAAGCGCACAGCUUCGCAUGAAGUGGUGUGAAAAACUCUGGUGGUAUACGAUGGUUCCGCGUCUGAUUAGCUUGUUGGCGGGGUAAUGGCUCACCAAGGCGACGAUCAGUAGCCGGCCUGAGAGGGUGAACGGCCACAUUGGGACUGAGACACGGCCCAAACUCCUACGGGAGGCAGCAG
rnacentral:rRNA from 1 species